GAACGUAUGGUUUAGUGGUCAGAGCGCUUGGAUAGUUUCCAAGAGGCGGGGAUUCAAAUAUCGUUACGUCCA
rnacentral:tRNA from 1 species